rnacentral:rRNA from 1 species
UACGGGGGGGGCAAGCGUUGUUCGGAAUUACUGGGCGUAAAGGGCUCGUAGGUGGCCAACUAAGUCAGACGUGAAAUCCCUCGGCUUAACCGGGGAACUGCGUCUGAUACUGGAUGGCUUGAGUUUGGGAGAGGGAUGCGGAAUUCCAGGUGUAGCGGUGAAAUGCGUAGAUAUCUGGAGGAACACCGGUGGCGAAGGCGGCAUCCUGGACCAAUACUGACACUGAGGAGCGAAGCGUGGGGAGCAAACAGG